rnacentral:rRNA from 1 species
AGUGAACGCUGGCGGUAGGCCUAACACAUGCAAGUCGAACGGCAGCACAGUAAGAGCUUGCUCUUACGGGUGGCGAGUGGCGGACGGGUGAGGAAUACAUCGGAAUCUACUUUUUCGUGGGGGAUAACGUAGGGAAACUUACGCUAAUACCGCAUACGACCUACGGGUGAAAGCAGGGGAUCUUCGGACCUUGCGCGAUUGAAUGAGCCGAUGUCGGAUUAGCUAGUUGGCGGGGUAAAGGCCCACCAAGGCGACGAUCCGUAGCUGGUCUGAGAGGAUGAUCAGCCACACUGGAACUGAGACACGGUCCAGACUCCUACGGGAGGCAGCAGUGGGGAAUAUUGGACAAUGGGCGCAAGCCUGAUCCAGCCAUACCGCGUGGGUGAAGAAGGCCUUCGGGUUGUAAAGCCCUUUUGUUGGGAAAGAAAAGCAGCAGAUUAAUUCCCCGCUGUUCUGACGGUACCCAAAGAAUAAGCACCGGCUAACUUCGUG